rnacentral:rRNA from 1 species
AGUGAACGCUGGCGGUAGGCCUAACACAUGCAAGUCGAACGGCAGCACAGUAAGAUCUUGCUCUUACGGGUGGCGAGUGGCGGACGGGUGAGGAAUACAUCGGAAUCUACUUUUUCGUGGGGGAUAACGUAGGGAAACUUACGCUAAUACCGCAUAUGACCUACGGGUGAAAGCAGGGGAUCUUCGGACCUUUCGCGUUUGAAUGAGACGAUGUCGGAUUAGCUAGUUGGCGGGGUAAAGGCCUACCAAGGCGACGAUCCGUAGCUGAUCUGAGAGGAUGAUCAGCCACACUGGAACUGAGACACGGUCCAGACUCCUACGGGAGGCAGCAGUGGGGAAUAUUGGACAAUGGGCGCAAGCUUGAUCCAGCAAUACCGCGUGAGUGAAGAAGGUCUUCGGAUUGUAAAGUCCUUUUGUUGGGAAAGAAAAGCAGCAGGUUAAUACCCCGCCGUUCUGACGGUACCCAAACAGUAAGCACCGGCUAACUUCGUG